AAAGAGGAGGUGGAAAUCUUAGAAAUCAAGGGAAUGGAGAUAAGAGAGGAAAGAUAUAAACUACAAGUGUUUUGCAGAUGAUUUGGUAUUUAUUGUAGAAGAACUGCUAGAGACAAUUCCAAAACUGUUAAAAGAGAUAGAGGAAUUUGGAGAAGUAGCAGGACUGAAAAUAAACAGAGAAAAAAAACUAAAGUUAUAGUUAAAAGCCUUACACAAAAACAAAAAUAAAAUCUGGCAGAAAAAGUGGAGUUUCAAAUAGUUAAGAAAGUUAAACAUUUGGGAAUAUACUUAACAGCAAGAUGUGCAAAGAUAAAAGAAGACAAUUAUAUAAAAUUACAUAAGCAAAUAAAAUUAGAUUUGGAAAAAUGGAAAAACCUAUGUUUAUCAAUGUUAGGAAGGUUUGCUACAACAAAAAUGAAUAUCCUACAAAAACUGCUUUUCCUGUUCCAAACAGUACCUAUAAAAAUGGAAAAGAAAUUAUUUGAUGAUUUGAACAAGUUGAUGCUGAAAUUUAUUUGGCAAGGAAAACAAGUGAGAAUAUAAUUGAAAAUGCUACAAGAAUCUAA